GGACUACCGGGGUAUCUAAUCCCGUUUGCUCCCCUGGCUUUCGCGCCUCAGCGUCAGCAGAGGUCCAGCGCGUCGCUUUCGCCACCGGCGUUCCUUCCGAUAUCUACGCAUUUCACCGCUCCACCGGAAGUUCCACACGCCCCUACCUCCCUCGAGGCCGCCGGUAUCCGCGGCACUUCCCCAGUUGAGCUGGGGGAUUUCACCGCGGACUCGACGGCCCGCCUACGCGCCCUUUAAGCCCAGUGAUUCCGAACAACGUUCGCACGGUUCGUCUUACCGCGGCUGCUGGCAC
rnacentral:rRNA from 3 species